rnacentral:misc_RNA from 1 species
UUUCCGUAGGUGAACCUGCGGAAGGAUCAUUAAUGAAUAUUAGGGUGUUCUCUUCAUCAGAGAAGCCCGACCCUUCAUUUCCAACUCUGUGCACUUUAAAAUUUGGGAUUACGAUUUUUGACGAAAGUUGAAAUAGUAUCCCAAUUCAUUUUACAAACUCUAAACAGUUAAAGAAUGUAAACAAACUAAAACAAAAAAAACUUUCAACAACGGAUCUCUUGGCUCUCGCAUCGAUGAAGAACGCAGC